rnacentral:lncRNA from 1 species
UCCUGUUUGGAAAAUGUUGCACAUUAUGUUCCUUGAGCAAUUUUCUGUUUUGGCAAAAGUCACUGCUACAGCAGCUGGAAGGAUGAAGGUGACAGGACUAAGUGUUCUCUACUAGCCCCACUCAUUUGAUGUAUGGAGAUCCCUGCAGAGAUAAAGAAGAAUGAGUAUAAAGGAAAUUCAAGGGAGCAAGAAGCAGGGUAAGGGCUGAAGCGUCUUUCAUACUAUGAUGAAAAGAACAGGAUCAUCCCUAAAAGCAGAAGAACUAACAGCUCCAGCUUCUGCUGUUGUAGCAGAGAUAGGUACUGUUUACAUCAGGGAAUGCAGAUUACAGCAGGAGUUAACCUCGGCUUUCCUGGAAACUCUCAUCUGACUUAAGUCCAAGUAAGUCUACUGAGCUCAGAAAAGUUAGGCUUCUCUUUAAGUUUAUAUUGGCAAAAACAAAAGCAGAAGCAUUUCUAAAUGCGGUGAUGGAAGUAUGCAGCCUAUGGACAAGUUAAAGACUAAAUGAGAUUCUGCACUCAGCUGCAGACAUGUAAGCGCAAGAUAGCUCUAUUUACCUUGCAGUAACUGAGAUCUGAUCUCUUCAUCUCUGCUUUUUGGAGGUUACACUCCAGACAAAUCACAUUCUGAGUAUGUUUGUAGCCAUGUUAUCAGCAUACUUACAGUACAAUUCCCAAUUUGCUGCCAUCUGCUUUACAUGUAAAGUUAAGAAGAGCAGGUGUCUACAGGAUCAGAAGCCUUAAUCCUCUGAUAACAUGAAAAAUUGCCAAUGAAAGCGGUAUGUUCUUAGUUGCCUAAGGAAUAGUUGGUAAUGAAACUGCUUGUUAAUUACAGUAAGGAGUUCAGUGAUAUGGACAUUAGGUCCUAAGUAAGGCAAGACUCUGGUCAGGGAGGCAAAUUCAGGAGAAUGUUUGUAGGGGGAAAGUAGGCAAGGGACUACAGUAAAAUUGAUUUUCCAGUGUGGCUUAUGUUGUUAGUACACAUGUCAAUUCUGUAUGCUUUGCCUAACUAGUUAAGUUUUUGCUUGCUCCUGUUUUUGCUGGAUAGCACAAGAACUUGAAUAUUACAGCAUGGUUUUAUACUGUACUCAUAACUGGGAAUAGUGUGAGUUUCACUUCACUGAUAAACAUUCUCUAUAGGAAAUGUCCAUGUUGUCUGUACUGCACAUUUACAGGUUGAACUUUCCAGUGUCCAACUUUUCCUUAAUGAAAGAAAGGAAAAGAUUUGCAGGAGGGAAAUUUUAUGGAAAGUGCUCAUCAACUUUUGUGGUCACUCU